rnacentral:lncRNA from 1 species
AUGAAUCUUGAUAUGUUGCCAGUUUUAACAACUAUUUCUUCUCCUUAUUCCUUUUCCUUUUCCUCUUCCUCCCCCUCCUCCUCCUCUCAGCUCCCUGCUUGUCAUGUUGCAGUGAGACCACAGAUAUAUUCUCUAUUAAAGAAUUGUCUUGGGGGCUACAUCAGACUGCUUGAAUGGAAACAGGGCUACAUCAACAUGGUAUUGAUGGCAUUCUUGUGGAUUGGAUUGCAUGGGGAUAGUCUGAAGAAUCAGAUAUUGGAUCUCAAGAGGCUUUCUCAAACUAUUUUAGAAAUGCAAGAAGAAAAUGUUUGGCUAGCCCUCUUUUGUUGA